rnacentral:rRNA from 1 species
GGUCAAGCGAAUAAGCGCACACGGUGGAUGCCUAGGCGGUCAGAGGCGAUGAAGGACGUGGUAGCCUGCGAAAAGUGUCGGGGAGCUGGCAACAAGCUUUGAUCCGGCAAUAUCCGAAUGGGGAAACCCACUGCUUCGGCAGUAUCCUGCAGUGAAUUCAUAGCUGCUGGAAGCGAACCCGGUGAACUGAAAUAUCUAAGUAACCGGAGGAAAAGAAAUCAACCGAGAUUCCCUAAGUAGUGACGAGCGAACGGGGAACAGCCCUUAAGCUGGAAUGGCUUUAGAAAAACAAUCUGGAAAGAUUGGCCAUAGAAGGUGAUAGCCCUGUAUUUAAAAGGGCCACUCCAGUGAAGACGAGUAGGGCGGGGCACGUGAAACCCUGUCUGAAUAUGGGGGGACCAUCCUCCAAGGCUAAAUACUCCUGACCGACCGAUAGUGAACCAGUACCGUGAGGGAAAGGCGAAAAGAACCCCGGAGAGGGGAGUGAAAUAGAUCCUGAAACCGUGUGCGUACAAGCAGUAGGAGCUCGCAAGAGUGACUGCGUACCUUUUGUAUAAUGGGUCAGCGACUUACUGUUCGUGGCAAGCUUAACCGUAUAGGGGAGGCGAAGGGAAACCGAGUCUGAUAAGGGCGCAUAGUCGCGGGCAGUAGACCCGAAACCGGGUGAUCUAGUCAUGGCCAGGGUGAAGGUGCCGUAACAGGUACUGGAGGCCCGAACCCACGUCUGUUGCAAAAGACGGGGAUGAGCUGUGAUUAGGAGUGAAAAGCUAAUCGAACCCGGAGAUAGCUGGUUCUCCUCGAAAGCUAUUUAGGUAGCGCCUCGGACGAAUACUACUGGGGGUAGAGCACUGUUAUGGCUAGGGGGUCAUCGCGACUUACCAAACCAUUGCAAACUCCGAAUACCAGUACGUACUAUCCGGGAGACACACGGCGGGUGCUAACGUCCGUCGUGAAAAGGGAAACAACCCAGACCCACAGCUAAGGUCCCAAAUUCACUGCUAAGUGGAAAACGAUGUGGAAAGGCAUAGACAGCCAGGAGGUUGGCUUAGAAGCAGCCACCCUUUAAAGAAAGCGUAAUAGCUCACUGGUCGAGUCGGUCUGCGCGGAAGAUUUAACGGGGCUAAGCAGUGAACCGAAGCUUGGGGUGCGUAAAACUUCGGUUUUAUGCGCGGUAGAGGAGCGUUCCUUAAGCCUGCGAAGGUGGAUUGAGAAGUCCGCUGGAGGUAUCGGAAGUGCGAAUGCUGACAUGAGUAACGAUAAUGCGGGUGAAAAGCCCGCACGCCGAAAGCCCAAGGUUUCCUUGCGCAACGUUAAUCGACGCAGGGUUAGUCGGUCCCUAAGGCGAGGGCGAAAGCCGUAGUCGAUGGGAAGCAGGUUAAUAUUCCUGCACCUCGCGUGAGUGCGAUGGAGGGACGGAGAAGGUUAGGUGUACCGGGCGUUGGUUGUCCCGGGGAAAGGCGGUAGGUUUGGAUCUUUGGCAAAUCCGGGAUCCUUUAAGACCGAGCACCGAGACGAGCCUUUAUGGCAAAGUCACUGAUACCACGCUUCCAGGAAAAGCUCCUAAGCUUCAGCUCACGAAGACCGUACCGUAAACCGACACAGGUGGGUAGGAUGAGAAUUCUCAGGCGCUUGAGAGAACUCGGGUGAAGGAACUAGGCAACAUGGCACCGUAACUUCGGGAGAAGGUGCACCCUUUUUGGUGGCUCAUGCGAGCUAUAGCUGAAGAGGGUCGCAGAAACCAGGCCGCUGCGACUGUUUAUCAAAAACACAGCACUCUGCAAACACGAAAGUGGACGUAUAGGGUGUGACGCCUGCCCGGUGCUGGAAGGUUAAUUGAUGGGGUCAGCCGCAAGGCGAAGCUCUUGAUCGAAGCCCCAGUAAACGGCGGCCGUAACUAUAACGGUCCUAAGGUAGCGAAAUUCCUUGUCGGGUAAGUUCCGACCUGCACGAAUGGCGUAACGACAGCGGCGCUGUCUCCACCCGAGACUCAGUGAAAUUGAAAUCGCUGUGAAGAUGCAGCGUUCCCGUGGCAAGACGGAAAGACCCCGUGAACCUUUACUAUAGCUUUACACUGAACGUUGAGUUCGUCUGUGUAGGAUAGGUGGGAGGCUAUGAAACUGUGGCGCUAGCUGCAGUGGAGCCAUCCUUGAAAUACCACCCUGUCGUGCUUGACGUUCUAACCUAGAUCCGUUAUCCGGAUCAGGGACCGUGUAUGGUGGGUAGUUUGACUGGGGCGGUCUCCUCCUAAAGAGUAACGGAGGAGCACGAAGGUACGCUCAGCGCGGUCGGACAUCGCGCACUGUGUGCAAAGGCAUAAGCGUGCUUGACUGCAAGAUCGACGGAUCAAGCAGGUACGAAAGUAGGUCUUAGUGAUCCGGUGGUUCUGUAUGGAAGGGCCAUCGCUCAACGGAUAAAAGGUACUCCGGGGAUAACAGGCUGAUACCGCCCAAGAGUUCAUAUCGACGGCGGUGUUUGGCACCUCGAUGUCGGCUCAUCACAUCCUGGGGCUGUAGUCGGUCCCAAGGGUAUGGCUGUUCGCCAUUUAAAGUGGUACGCGAGCUGGGUUCAGAACGUCGUGAGACAGUUCGGUCCCUAUCUGCCAUGGGCGUUGGAAGUUUGAGAGGGGCUGCUCCUAGUACGAGAGGACCGGAGUGGACGAACCUCUGGUGUUCCGGUUGUCACGCCAGUGGCAUUGCCGGGUAGCUAUGUUCGGAAGCGAUAACCGCUGAAAGCAUCUAAGCGGGAAGCGCGCCUCAAGAUGAGACUUCCCGGGGCACAAGCCCCCUAAAGGAACCAUAUAGACUAUGUGGUUGAUAGGUCAGGUGUGUAAGUACAGCAAUGUAUUGAGCUAACUGAUACUAAUGAUCCGUGCGGCUUGACCAU